rnacentral:rRNA from 1 species
CCCUAUGGGGUGCAGCAGGCGCGAAAACUUCACACUGCAGGAAACUGUGAUGAGGGAACUCCAAGUGCGCGCACUUAGUGUGCGCUUUUCUUGACUAUUAAUCGGUCAUGGAAUAAGGGCUGGGAAAGACCGGUGCCAGCCGCCGCGGUAAUACCGGCAGCUCAAGUGGUCGUCGCUUUUAUUGGGCCUAAAACGUCCGUAGCCUGUUUGGUAAAUCUGUGGGUAAAUCAACCAGCUUAACUGGUUGAAUUCUGCAGAGACUGCCAGACUAGGGACCGGGAGAGGUGUGGGGUACUCUAGGGGUAGGGGUAAAAUCCUGUCAUCCUUAGAGGACCACCAGUUGCGAAGGCGCCACACUGGAACGGAUCCGACGGUCAGGGACGAAGCCUAGGGGCACGAACCGGAUUAGAUACCCGGGUAGUCCUAGGUGUAAACGCUGUGAACUUGGUGUCGGGAGUCCGCAAUGGGCCCCCGGUGCCGGAGUGAAGAUGUUAAGUUCACUGCCUGGGGAGUACGGUCGCAAGGCUGAAACUUAAAGGAAUUGGCGGGGGAGCACUGCAACGGGAGGAGCGUGCGGUUUAAUUGGAUUCAACGCCGGAAAACUCACCAGGGCCGACUGUUAGAUGAAGACCAGUGUAACGAACUUGUCGGAUUUUCAGAGAGGUGGUGCAUGGCC